UUACCUUGAAAGAAUAAAGGAAUUCUAUAGCUUCAUACAAAUUCGCCUAUCAGCAACUCUCCCUGGUCGUUCAAAAGUUGCUUGAAGAUUCUACCAUCUCCAUACUAUGAAGGAGCGCUUCUUCAUUUCUUCAUUUUAUCUGAACCUUAACGUAUCCUUCCAACACAAUGUCCAUGGACAACGGUAAUGAGGUCGGCGCCUACGAGUUUGACCGGAACGCCCUGGACAACAUCGCCCGUCGGCGACAAGAUCGCCCACGCAAGAAAUACAGCCAGCAUCGUCCAGUGGAUGAGUUUGGAGUACAUAAGCUUGCCAGGGCAAACAAUCUAAGUCAAUUUACCGCGUGCCAAUUGGAGGAUGCCUUGUCCAAGGAAAGGUGCCAUAUGGACGACCUUGUGUUAGUUUAGUUGUUGCAUGUAAGCUUGUGAGUUGGUGGCCUGGUUCAUGCUUAUGGGCGACAAUUGAAAUGCCGGGACAAUGACUUAUUAUACUGGAUUCACAUGGUACGUUACGUUGCGAAGGGUGUCCCAAAUUCACUGAUGAAUUGACUACUGUUGUAUCCACUUCCACUGUUUAGGUGGUAGUGAAAACUACCGAUUAGUGAAUGAAGGGAGGCUAAGUGCCUCAGCGGUAAUGACGACUUGUACAGCAAUCUGUACGAUCCAAGAAUAUAGUCGUCACCGCGAAUUAUCACCAAUCGGUGCAAUCGUAACCCAAGUGGGUCUACCAGUGACAAGUGUCACGAUUAUAGCAAGUGUAACGACGCAAAUGCCAAUCUGAGCAUCCCGGGUUACGCCUUUGCUGUGUUACAAUGGUAUCGAGACGGGACUGCACGACUUCCGUAACAAACUUCGGGUCGGCGGUUCGAUUCUGGCAACCAGCAAGUCGCAAAUUGGCGAUUUCAUGGUGUAAUGGAUAAACCAGCGCACUGGCGCGAGGUGGGAUGGCUCCUGUGCUCGAAAUAAUGGCCGAGGACGUCCAUUGCUAAGUGGGGGGCAAUGUAACGACGCAAAUGCCAAUCUGAGCAUCCCGGGUUACGCCUUUGCUGUGUUACAGCAAGAGUGCUAUAACCCAGUAUCACACGUGAUAAAAGAUAGGCAAGUGCCCAAUGGUUAACCAAGUAAGAGCGAAGAUAAUGCCAAGUGGUGAAGUGCCAGAGUAUCGGGGAAAAUCCGAAGUUAAAUAAGCAAGUAUGCCACAACAACUAUCCCCCCUCUGGACGCAGCAUCCUCGCAGCAUUAGUGGCACGAGCCUUGACUGCUUGAAGUUCGGAGCGGAGGUCGGGCGUAAGGUUCUUCUCUGGCUCCCAGCUAUUAUGUUGGUUGGGGGUUGGAGUGGAACAGGAAGCAGCCAUGUAAAACACUCGUACGAUAGCACGAUAUGACAUAUGCGGGUCUUUUUCACUUGGUGGUGUUUAGCGCUAAGAGGAUAUGUGUGUGUGCGUGCGCCCACAUGACGCUCCUUAGGUUCUCUAGGUGGUCUCCCCUUACGGCGUCUUCCUAGGCGGCGGGCACGAUAAUCAAGAGUAAAGUGGAUCGCUCUUUAGCCACUGAACUGGCGGCGGUCCUGCAGGACUAAAAGGUGCAGAAGAACUGUCGCGANNNNNNNNNNNNNNNNNNNNNNNNNNNNNNNNNNNNNNNNNNNNNNNNNNCUUCAUUUUAUCUGAACCUUAACGUAUCCUUCCAACACAAUGUCCAUGGACAACGGUAAUGAGGUCGGCGCCUACGAGUUUGACCGGAACGCCCUGGACAACAUCGCCCGUCGGCGACAAGAUCGCCCACGCAAGAAAUACAGCCAGCAUCGUCCAGUGGAUGAGUUUGGAGUACAUAAGCUUGCCAGGGCAAACAAUCUAAGUCAAUUUACCGCGUGCCAAUUGGAGGAUGCCUUGUCCAAGGAAAGGUGCCAUAUGGACGACCUUGUGUUAGUUUAGUUGUUGCAUGUAAGCUUGUGAGUUGGUGGCCUGGUUCAUGCUUAUGGGCGACAAUUGAAAUGCCGGGACAAUGACUUAUUAUACUGGAUUCACAUGCUACGUUACGUUGCGAAGGGUGUCCCAAAUUCACUGAUGAAUUGACUACUGUUGUAUCCACUUCCACUGUUUAGGUGGUAGUGAAAACUACCGAUUAGUGAAUGAAGGGAGGCUAAGUGCCUCAGCGGUAAUGACGACUUGUACAGCAAUCUGUACGAUCCAAGAAUAUAGUCGUCACCGCGAAUUAUCACCAAUCGGUGCAAUCGUAACCCAAGUGGGUCUACCAGUGACAAGUGUCACGAUUAUAGCAAGUGUAACGACGCAAAUGCCAAUCUGAGCAUCCCGGGUUACGCC
rnacentral:lncRNA from 1 species